AUGAACCAAGCUAGUGGAGGUGAUGGAAUUCCAGUUGAACUAUUUCAAAUCCUGAAAGAUGAUGCUGUGAAAGUGCUGCACUCAAUAUGUCAGCAAAUUUGGGAAACUCAGCAGUGGCCACAGGACUGGAAAAGGUCCAUUUUCAUUCCAAUCCCAAAGAAAGGCAAUGUCAAAGAAUGCUCAAACUACUACACAAUUGCACUCAUCUCACAUGCUAGUAAAGUAAUGCUCAAAAUUCUCCAAGCCAGGCUUCAGCAAUACGUGAACUGUGAACUUCCAGAUGUUCAAGCUGGUUUUAGAAAAGGCAAAGGAACCAGAGAUCAAAUUGCCAACAUCCGCUGGACCAUGGAAAAAGCAAGAGAGUUCCAGAAAAACAUCUAUUUCUGCUUUAUUGGCUAUGCCAAAGCCUUUGACUGUGUGGAUCACAAUAAACUGUGGAAAAUUCUGAAAGAGAUGGGAAUACCAGACCACCUGACCUGCCUCUUGAGAAACCUAUAUGCAGGUCAGGAAGCAACAGUUAGAACUGCACAUGGAACAACAGACUGGUUCCAAAUAGGAAAAGGAGUAUGUCAAGGCUGUAUAUUGUCACCCUGCUUAUUUAACUUCUAUGCAGAGUACAUCAUGAGAAACUCUGGGCUGGAUGAAGCACAAGCUGGAAUCAAGAUUGCCGGGAGAAAUAUCAAUCACCUCAGAUAUGCAGAUGACACCACCCUUAUGGCAGAAAGUGAAGAGGAGCUGAGGAGCCUCUUGAUGAAAGUGAAAGAGGAGAGUGAAAAAGUUGGCUUAAAGCUCAACAUUCAGAAAACGAAGAUCAUGGCAUCCGGUCCCAUCACUUCAUGGGAAAUAGAUGGGGAAACAGGGGAAACAGUGUCACACUUUGUUUUUUUGGGCUCCAAAAUCACUGCAGAUGGUGACUGCAGCCAUGAAAUUAAAAGACGCUUACUCCUUGGAGGAAAAGUUAUGACCAACCUAGAUAGCAUAUUGAAAAGCAGAGACAUUACCUUGCCAACAAAGGUCCGUCUAGUCAAGGCUAUGGCUUUUCCAGUGGUCAUGUAUGGAUGUGAGAGUUGGACUGUGAAGAACGCUGAGGGCCGAAGAAUUGAUGCUUUUGAACUGUGGUGUUGGAGAAGACUCUUGAGAGUCCCUUGGACUACAAGGAGAUCCAACCAGUCCAUCCUAAAGGAGAUCAGUCCUGGGUGUUCAUUGGAAGGACUGAUGCUGAAGCUGAAACUCCAGUACUUUGGCCACCUCAUGGCCAAAGUUGACUAA
rnacentral:lncRNA from 1 species